UACGGAGGGAGCUAGCGUUAUUCGGAAUUACUGGGCGUAAAGCGCACGUAGGCGGCUUUGUAAGUAAGAGGUGAAAGCCCAGAGCUCAACUCUGGAAUUGCCUUUUAGACUGCAUCGCUUGAAUCAUGGAGAGGUCAGUGGAAUUCCGAGUGUAGAGGUGAAAUUCGUAGAUAUUCGGAAGAACACCAGUGGCGAAGGCGGCUGACUGGACAUGUAUUGACGCUGAGGUGCGAAAGCGUGGGGAGCAAACA
rnacentral:rRNA from 1 species